UUUCCGUAGGUGAACCUGCGGAAGGAUCAUUACCGAGUGAGGGCCCUCUGGGUCCAACCUCCCACCCAUGUUUAUUGUACCUUGUUGCUUCGGCGGGCCCGCCUCACGGCCGCCGGGGGGCUUCUGCCCUCUGGCCCGCGCCCGCCGAAGACACCAUUGAACACUGUCUGAAGAUUGCAGUCUGAGCAAUUAGCUAAAUAAGUUAAAACUUUCAACAACGGAUCUCUUGGUUCCGGCAUCGAUGAAGAACGCAGCGAAAUGCGAUACGUAAUGUGAAUUGCAGAAUUCAGUGAAUCAUCGAGUCUUUGAACGCACAUUGCGCCCCUUGGUAUUCCGGGGGGCAUGCCUGUCCGAGCGUCAUUGCUGCCCUCAAGCACGGCUUGUGUGUUGGGCCCCGUCCUCCUUCCCGGGGGACGGGCCCGAAAGGCAGCGGCGGCACCGCGUCCGGUCCUCGAGCGUAUGGGGCUUUGUCACCCGCUCUUGUAGGCCCGGCCGGCGCUUGCCGACAACCAUCAAUCUUUUUUCAGGUUGACCUCGGAUCAGGUAGGGAUACCCGCUGAACUUAA
rnacentral:rRNA from 3 species